GCCCUUGAAACUAAGUAGGACGCUUCACAAAGCAGAAGUGGAUUUCCUGGUAAUACAUUUCAUCCCAAAAUGACGACAGAAUCAAAGAAAGCUACAGCUCAGAAACUUCAGGAGAAUGAAGGGCUUCUCAUAGUGAAGAUAGAAGAGGAAGAUUUUGUCUGGAGGCAGGACACUUCCCUCCAGAGAAGCGACCCCUUUGGGCAGGAGUUCUGCCGACAGCUUUUCAGGCAGUUCUGCUACCAGGAUUCCGCUGGGCCCCGCGAGGCCCUGAGCCGGCUGCGGGAGCUCUGCCAUCAGUGGCUGCAGCCCGAGACACACAGCAAGGAGCAGAUCCUCGAGCUGCUGGUGCUGGAGCAGUUCCUGACCAUCCUGCCCGAGGAGCUGCAGGCCUGGGUGCGGGAACAUGGCCCAGAGAAUGGAGAGGAGGUGGUCACCCUACUGGAAGAUUUGGAAAGAGGCGCUGAUGAAGCAGUAAUCCAGGUUCCAGUCCAUGCACACAGACAAGAGAUACUCGGGAAGAAGGUGGUGCCUCCUGGACCAGCACUGAGUGUCCAGUUGCAGCCAGUGGACCCCAAGGCCCUUCGUGGUUCUUCAGCACCCCUUCUGCUGGAUGGCGAUAAUGAGAGUGAAAACAAUGGAUUCAUGCCAAAGUUGGACAUUUAUGAAAAAAUGGAAUCACAGAGGAUUCUAUCAGGAAGAAUUUCAGGAUUCAUUUCAGAAGGAACUGCUGAGCCUCAAAACAUCUGUAAGUCUGCAGGCAGGCUAAAGAAGCAAUGGGAAAAAGAAUCAGGGGGUGCUCAGAGACCAUCAUCUGCUCAGGAUGGAGGUUUUAGUAAAAUCCUUACCCACAAAAAUACACUCACAGGUAGUAUUAGCCAUGAUGGUUGUGAGAGAAGCUUAAACCUGAAUUCAAGUGAAUUGACACACCAGAAAUCUUGUAAACACAGUACCUAUGACCAAAGUUUCAAAUGGAAUCCAGAUUUUAUUAAGCAUCAAAGAAUUUAUGCUGGAGAGAAAAUUCACCAAUAUGGAACAUCUCUCAAAAGCCCAAACCUUAUUAAACAUGCAGCAAUUUUUAGUGGGGAGAAAACCCACCAGUGUAAUGAAUGUGGGAAAGCUUUCAGACACAGCUCAAAGCUUAUCAGGCAUCAGAGAAUCCACACUGGAGAGAGGCCUUAUGAAUGUAAUGAGUGUGGGAAAGGCUUUGGGGGGAGCUCAGAUCUUAUUAGACACCAGAGAAUUCACACUGGAGAAAGACCCUUUGAAUGCAAAGAAUGUGGGAGAGCAUUCAGCCUGAACUCACAUCUUAUCUUGCAUCAGAGAAUUCACACCAGAGAGAAACCCUAUGAAUGUAGUGAAUGUGGGAAAACCUUCAGAGUGAGUUCACACCUCAUUCGACACCUGAGAAUCCACACUGGAGAGAAACCCUAUGAAUGCAAUGAGUGUGGGAGAGCCUUCAGUCAGAGUUCACACCUUCGUCAACACCAAAGAAUUCACAAGAGGGAAAACCUAUAUAAGUGUGAUGAAUGUGGGAGAAGAUUCACUCAAAACUCAAGCCUCAUUAGACAUAAAAGAAUCCACACUGGAGAAAGACCCUAUUCAUGUAACGUGUGUGGCAAAAGUUUCAUCCAGAGCUCACAGCUUAUUGACCAUCAGAGACUACAUAAUCGGUUAAAACCGUAUCAGUGUGAUGAGUGUGGAAAAGCCUUUUAUUACAGUUCACACCUUGUUCAGCAUCAGAGGACCCAUACUGGAGAAAAACCUUUCCAGUGCAGUGAGUGUGGGAAAGCUUUUCACUACAGCUCAGGCCUUGUCCGACACCAAAGGACCCACACAGGAGAGAAGCCGUACCAGUGUGGUGACUGUGGGAAGGCUUUCUGUCUGAGCUCACAUCUGAUUCAGCAUCAGAGAGUCCAUACCGGAGAGAAGCCGUACCAGUGCAGUGAGUGUGGAAAAAGCUUCAGCCAAAGCUCAGGCCUCUUCCAUCACCAGAGAAUCCACAGUGGGGAGAAACCCUAUGAGUGUGAUGAGUGUGGGAAGGCCUUCAGUCACAGCUCGGCUCUGGUAGGACACCUGCGCAUCCACAGCGGAGAGAGGCCUUAUGAGUGCGAUGUGUGCGGGAAAGCUUUUAGUUACAGCUCACAUCUUCUGGGACACCGACGAAUCCACACUGGAGAGAAACCCUAUGAGUGUGACGUUUGCGGGAAAGCUUUCCGGCGCAGCUCACACCUCAUUGUACAUCAGCGAGUCCACGCUGGAGAGAAGCCCUGACGCUAUGCAUGUGAGGACUGUGGGAAAAGUUUCAGUCACAGCUCAGACCUUAGUAAGCACAGAAGGACUCACACUGGAGAAAAGCCCUACAAAUGCGAUGAAUGUGGAAAAGCCUUCAUUCAACGCUCCCAUCUCAUUGGACACCACAGAGUGCACACUGGAGUGAAACCCUAUAAAUGUGAAGAAUGUGGGAAAGAUUUUAGUGGGCGCACAGGUCUUAUUCAGCAUCAGAGAAUCCACACAGGUGAAAAACCCUAUGAAUGUGAUGAGUGUGGGAGGCCCUUCCGUGUAAGUUCAGCCCUGAUCAGACAUCAAAGAAUUCAUACAGCACAUAAGCUCUACUAAGAUGGUGAAUGUGGUCGAGAUUCCGGAAAUAGGUCCACAUUAGAGAGGCAGCGGGGAAAUCCCACUCAGGAGAGACGACAUAAAUGUGAUGAAUGUGGGAAGAGCUUUGCUCAGAGCUCAGGCCUUGUUCGCCACUGGAGAAUCCACACUGGGGAGAAACCCUAUCAGUGUAAUGUGUGCAGUAAAGCCUUCAGUUACAGGUCAGCCCUUCUUUCCCAUCAGGAUAUCCACAACAAAGUAAAGCGCUAUCACUGUAAGGAGUGUGGUAAAGCCUUCAGUCAAAACACAGGCCUGAUCCUGCACCAGAGAAUCCAUACUGGGGAGAAGCCGUAUCAGUGCAAUCAGUGUGGGAAGGCUUUCAGUCAGAGUGCGGGCCUUAUUCUGCACCAGAGAAUCCACAGUGGGGAGAGACCCUAUGAAUGUAAUGAGUGUGGGAAAGCUUUCAGUCAUAGCUCUCACCUCAUUGGACAUCAGAGAAUCCACACUGGGGAGAAGCCCUAUGAGUGUGAUGAGUGUGGGAAAACCUUCAGGCGGAGCUCACAUCUUAUUGGCCAUCAGAGAAGCCACACUGGGGAAAAACCCUACAAAUGCAAUGAGUGUGGGAGGGCCUUCAGUCAGAAGUCAGGCCUUAUUGAACAUCAGAGAAUCCACACUGGAGAAAGACCCUAUAAAUGUAAAGAAUGUGGGAAAGCUUUCAAUGGGAACACGGGCCUCAUACAGCAUCUGAGAAUUCACACAGGGGAGAAGCCCUAUCAAUGUAAUGAGUGUGGGAAAGCCUUUAUUCAGAGGUCAAGUCUCAUUCGGCAUCAGAGAAUCCACAGUGGAGAAAAAUCGCACACAUGUAGUGAAUGUGGAAAGAAGUUUGCUCAGAGCUCAGGCCUUGUUCGACAUCGGAGAAUCCACACUGGAGAGAAACCCUAUGAGUGUGAUCACUGUGGAAAAGCCUUCAGUGUGCGCUCAACCCUCACAGUGCAUGAAAGAACCCACACCGGCGAGAAGCCCUAUACUUGUAAUGAGUGCAGGAAAGGCUUCAGUGUGAGGGCACACCUGAUCAUCCACCAGAGAAUCCACAAUGGGGAGAAACCCUAUGAGUGUAAUGAGUGUGGCAAAGCCUUUAGUAUGAGCUCAGACCUUAUCAAGCAUCAGAGAAUACACUCUGGUGAAAAGCCCUAUGAGUGUGUCGAGUGUGGGAAAGCCUUCAGCGUGAGCUCAGCCCUCAUCAAACAUCAGAGAAUCCACACAGGAGAGAAGCCGUAUGAGUGUAAGGAGUGUGGGAAGGCCUUCUACGUGAACUCCGCCCUUAUCAAUCAUCAGAGGAUUCACUCUGGAGAAAAGCCCUAUGAGUGUGGAGAAUGCAGGAAAGCCUUCAGCCAGAUCUCCACCCUCAUCCAUCACCAGAGAAUCCACACUGGAGAGAAGCCGUAUGAGUGUGAGGAGUGUGGGAAAGCCUUCCGUGGGAGUUCUAAUCUUACUAAACACCAGAAAAUACAUGCCAAAGGAAAGUGUCCACAGUGAUUUAUAUGGUGAAGAUAUUCCAAAGGCCUUUUUUUUUAAAUCAGAAUUUAACACCAAAAGGAGGGUAUGGUAAAAAUUUAAUUGAUACUUGGUCCCUCAGAAUAUUGAAGAAGUGAGAAGUCAGUGGAAAUAACUCCAGAAUGGUAACUAAAGUUCUAAAAUCACAUCUGCUUCUGAGAUUGCCACUUUACAACUCAUAAGGUAAAGCCAUUUAAACAUAUACCAUAAUGUAGUUUACUUUGGCUUAGUAAGAGCAGACGUCAGUAAUUCAACCACUGUCUUUGUUUUUCUCAUGUACAAGCCUUUGUUAUUGUUGCUACUAGUAUCAUGGGUAAAACCGAUUAAGUUUUGAAAUUGGAAGUUGUGUUGAUUGGUGGGACAGGAACCACAUAUUUUCGUUGUAUCUGGAAAUACUAACCAAUUGAUUUUCCUUCCUUUGCCUUGGAGGUACCUCUGUUCUCUCAGGAGUAAUUAGAUAGGUGUGUUAGUAACUUCCUCGGCAGAAGAUAGACUGCCUCUUUUUAGGUAGGAAUCCAGUCAAUAAUUCUUCAGGGUCAUUCUUUCUUCACCAGCGAAGUCCCAGGCCUUUCGACUUACUGAUCCGAUAAGCCCCCUAAACUUGACUGAGCUUCCUGAACCAAAACAAACAAAACAAAAACAAAAAGCCUCUAGACGCAUCAGGUGCUCCAAACCCUUAUAUUUGGUGUUCCUCAGAGUGCGGUAUGGCAUCUGCAGAUUCAGGAGGUGUGAGGAUGGACAGACUCAGGCACUGUUGUUGAGCUGAGUUGGCAUUGGUUGUAGGGUGACUUUCAAGGAUCUGUUUGAGUGACUCCUUGAAGCUUGAUGCCUGCUAACAACACGGAGUGUGGUGGACUCGAGAAGUGGUAGGAAGUGAUUUCUAACUCCUGGGUAACAGGCCUGAAAUUCUUUUGAUCCUUGAAGCUAAAUCACGUGAGGUUGAAGAUGAACACCAAAUUAAUAGAACUUGCAGAUUGCUUUGGUCCACAGUGUAGACAGGCAGAAGGAAACAUUCUCUGAGAAGGUGAAAUGCUGUUCACUCCUCAGAGUGGGAUGACUGUGCUGUACAGGAAUGCGCAGUUUCCAGAAUUUCUCGUCGGCCCUUCCGGCCACUCAGCCCAUAGAUACGCUGGGUUCCAUGAAGCUUUGUACCAGCUUGUGCUGCCAAGCACUGAAGUCUGAGAUGCAUAUGGAAAAGCAUGUCACGGAGUCUCCGAUUCUGAGGUAGUGCUUACCCCUCUGCUCAGGUAGCUGUAGGCAUGGACACAGGGGCUGAACACAGAGAAGGUCAUGCUUAUGGUGCUCAAAUUGAGACAGGACCUCUCCUGGGGCAUGGGGCACGCAAGAGGGAGUAAGGUACAUACUUAGAGGCAGAAAUUGAGGGCCUCGGCAAAACCCUAGGAAGUUGUCUUUGCUAUGCUGGAUUGAGAGUGUGAAUUCCUCUGCCCUUCUUCUUGCUGCCUUUUGACAGUUGAAGGAGACUGGUUGCUCCUUGCUGCGCCCUAGAGAGAGUUCCCUGCCACCCUAUUUCUGUAUUGUUAUCCGUGUUUUUAGUGUUUACCUCUUUGGCCUCAGCUGUCUUGGUUUGUCCCUAGGAUGGAGCUUUGCAGGCAGACUCUUCUGGGAUCAGCACUGAAGAGAUGCCACAUCCCACCCCAAACCAGCACAGCUGAAUCCCAAGCACUAAGUGGUGAGUAUUCUGAAGACUUUGAAGGGGCAGACAUUCUGGAGGGGAAAAAAAAAAUGUUUUACUGACGAGCAUAGUGUUAGGAGAUCAGGAUUCAUGUAACAUGGUUACUUCUUAUGAGCUCAAAUUAAGGUAUUAAUGAUCAUCUCUUGUGGGCUGGGCCUUCUGCCAGGCACUAGGAAUACAAAGAUAAAUGAAAAAAGCUCCCUACUCUCCUAGGCCUUAAAGUCUGACUGGGGGACAGGGAGAAGAGAGCAGAUGAAAACAGCAAUUGCAGUGAUAAAGCCACUAGGUUUGUACAAAGGGCUUGGCACUGAAGAUGUAACAGCCACUUGUGGAAGGGCUGGUAAGGUCUCAGAGAAGGAAGAAA